rnacentral:rRNA from 1 species
GACGAACGCUGGCGGCGUGCCUAACACAUGCAAGUCAACUUGACUGAAGGAGCAAUCUGACAGUAGAGUGGCGCAAGGGUGCGUAACGCGUAAGUAACUUGCCCCAAGGUAAGGAAUAACGUCGAGAAAUCGGCGCUAAUACCUCAUAAUGCAGCGGAUCCGCAUGGAUAUGUUGUUAAAGGUUUACCGCCUUGGGAUAGGCUUGCGUCUGAUUAGCUAGUUGGUGUGGUAACGGCACACCAAGGCUACGAUCAGUAACUGGUCUGAGAGGAUGAUCAGUCACACUGGAACUGAGACACGGUCCAGACUCCUACGGGAGGCAGCAGUGAGGAAUAUUGGGCAAAUGCUCGAAAGAGUGACCCAGCAACGCCGCGUGGAGGAUGAAGGUAUUCUAUAUCGUAAACUCCUGUGAGAGCAGCGAAAGACAGAUUAUUAAUCUGGAUGACUGUAUGCUCAGAGGAAG